rnacentral:ncRNA from 1 species
AAUUGAAAAAGGCAAACCUGAGGAAACUCAGCGACGCAAAGCUAUAGGGGCUAAAUUGUAAUAACAGUAAGCCAGCCAGUUGCCGAA